rnacentral:rRNA from 1 species
GACGAACGCUGGCGGCGUGCUUAACACAUGCAAGUCGAACGGUAAGGCUCCAGCUUGCUGGGGUACACGAGUGGCGAACGGGUGAGUAACACGUGGGUGACCUGCCCUGCACUUCGGGAUAAGCCUGGGAAACUGGGUCUAAUACCGGAUAGGACCGCACCGUGAGGGUGUGGUGGAAAGUUUUUUCGGUGUGGGAUGGGCCCGCGGCCUAUCAGCUUGUUGGUGGGGUAAUGGCCUACCAAGGCGGCGACGGGUAGCCGGCCUGAGAGGGUGGACGGCCACAUUGGGACUGAGACACGGCCCAGACUCCUACGGGAGGCAGCAGUGGGGAAUAUUGCACAAUGGGCGGAAGCCUGAUGCAGCGACGCCGCGUGGGGGAUGACGGCCUUCGGGUUGUAAACUCCUUUCACCAUCGACGAAGGGUUUCUGACGGUAGAUGGAGAAGAAGCACCGGCUAACUACGUGCCAGCAGCCGCGGUAAUACGUAGGGUGCGAGCGUUGUCCGGAAUUACUGGGCGUAAAGAGCUCGUAGGUGGUUUGUCGCGUCGUCUGUGAAAUUCCGGGGCUUAACUCCGGGCGUGCAGGCGAUACGGGCAUAACUUGAGUACUGUAGGGGAGACUGGAAUUCCUGGUGUAGCGGUGAAAUGCGCAGAUAUCAGGAGGAACACCGGUGGCGAAGGGGGGUCUCUGGGCAGUAACUGACGCUGAGAAGCGAAAGCAUGGGGAGCGAACAGG